UGGGAUAUUACCAGCACAGGCGCAAUUCUGAACUUGUCCACUGAGCUGCUGAAAAUGAGGAUCCUUCCAGUGCUCUUAUUGUUCUCUCUGAAGCAUGUUCGCUCCGAUGUGGUGUUGACCCAGUCAGGCCCAGAAAUAAAAAAGCCAGGAGAAUCGUUCAAAAUAUCCUGUAAAGCCUCUGGAUUCACUUUUACUGAUUAUAGUAUGAACUGGAUUCGACAGACUCCUGAGAAAGGAUUUGAGUGGCUGGGUUACAUUAACAAUGCCCUUAAUACAGGCUAUGCAGAUUCUGUCAAAGGAAAAAUUACUUUAACCAGGGACAAUUCCAACAGCAUUACAUAUUUACAGAUGAGCAACCCAACAUCUGAAGACACUGCUGUGUAUUACUGUGCUCGAUAUGCACAGUGAGAGAACUGGAGCCUGAGCCCUGACAAAAACCACCAAACCACAGUGUCAUGGCUGCAUGGCUGAGCCUACAGCACUUUCUGAUCUUCCUAUUUUUAUGAGUGAAAUACCUCCCCAGCUUGAAGGCCCAACUCUUACAGGAGCUUCGAAGGCCUGAGGCAGGGCACUUGAAGAAUGGUCAAUCAGAAUUACAUCCUGCUCCUGCAGGGAGGAUCACACAUGCAAAUUGAGACCCCAUAUUUAUGUGGAGCUGCUGUUAGUACUGAACUGAACUCAGCUCACAGCCUUCAGGAUGACAGCAGCACUGAAGUGGCUCUUGAUCGUGCUGUGUCUGCCUUGUGUAAAAUGUGGCCUGGAAUCUAUUCCUUCCAGUCCAGAGGUGAAAAAGCCUGGAGAGACGCUCAGUCUCUCCUGUAAGGGAUCUGAAUUUAAUUUCGGCAGCUAUGGCAUGCAUUGGAUUCGACAGCCCCAGGGAAAGCCUUUGGACUGGAUGGGAGCUAUAUGGUAUGAUGCCAGCAAAACCGUAUAUUCUGAGGCUGUGAAAGACCGGAUCACAAUAACCAGAGACAAUCCCAAGAACAUGGUGUAUCUACAACUCACAGGGCUGAGACCUGAAGACUCAGCUGUGUAUUACUGUGCCAAACCCCACAGUGAGAGGACUGUAUAGCAGAGCUGUACAAAAACACAGCAGAGCAUCAAAGUUAGCUGACAGCUGGGUAAUGGUCUGCUUUACUAAAGUGAAAAAACUAAGUCUGGUUUGAAGUAAGUUUUUCAGCACAUCAAGAUCAAAUCAUUGUAGGAAAGCAGACUCUUUUGACCAUCACACACUACCCUCCAUUUUACAGGGGUUGCUAUAAACCUAACAAAAGUCCAGACAAUACCUAAAGGUACAGAAUUUCGUAAUGAUAUGAUUUGACUUUUUUUUUGACAAAUGUGUAAAAUCCAUUUACAUUUAAGUGUGUGAAAUAAAAUGCAAUGCAUGAACCGUAUUUGGUCAAAUAAAUUCAGAAUGAAAUCACAGAAAUGUGAAACAAUGUUACUGAUACCAUGCAAUUUAAUUAUUUGUGCACAUAUAGAUGGAUGUAUGAAGACAGGGGAUCCAGUAGUUAGGGUGUACAGCCUGUUGUAAGGACAUUCACUGUCUGAGCUCUGUCACUACUUCGCUCUCUGUCCUCCUCAUGCCCCCUGUCAUCAGAAGGACAUCAGAAAAAGGGGUCCUACAGUCAGGGGUUUAGGAGAGGCUCUGAUGGGGCUGGCCUCCUGAUGGACAGGCCACUCUCUAGCCACUCUGGACAUGAGUACCCUCUGCUAAAUUAUUGUUAUCUAAGACAAUUACAAUAAGAUGUACAAUAAAAGUUGAAUAAAUGUCAUCCCUGGUGGACAGACAGACUGGUGUUGUCACUCUUCCUGUCUCAAUAUCAUCUAACUUCAAUUAAAGCUUCUAAAAAGACAUCAUGCAAAACACCUCCACCCACUGAUAUACACACACACCUCCCUUCACCUUUAUAUACAGACUGAGACCUCUACAAAGACUCACCAGACAGCAAGACUGUCUUUACCCUCAACAUCUCUUCACUCCUCCCUUCACCAGCUUGGGCAGUAAACAUGAUUCUUACAUGUCCUGUUCUGUUGGUGUUGCUUCCCUAUAAGUGUGCAAACUUAGCAAAAAUCAAGUAAUGAGCCCUGUUAAAUUGAAGGAGAAGCCAAGAGAUCUUUUUACAGUUAAAAAAAUGUUGAGCCAUUUUUCUUCGUUUUUAUUCUAUGUCUGUUUUUCAUUUUAAUUGGCUGAGAUACAAUUACAAGUUAUUCAUUUUUUAGUCUCCUUCAGUCUACAAUUCUGCUUUUCCAAAGGACCUUCUCUUUUGUUGUGCUUUACGUUUCUUUACCUUUGUCAAAGAGAGGAUUUCAGAGAGUUACGUCUGAUUGGUGUGUAAGAGUGUGCAUGCUUAUUUACA